rnacentral:rRNA from 1 species
CCUAAUACAUGCAAGUCGAGCGGACCGACGGGAGCUUGCUCCCUUAGGUCAGCGGCGGACGGGUGAGUAACACGUGGGUAACCUGCCUGUAAGACUGGGAUAACUCCGGGAAACCGGGGCUAAUACCGGAUGCUUGAUUGAACCGCAUGGUUCAAUYAUAAAAGGUGGCUUUUAGCUACCACUUACAGAUGGACCCGCGGCGCAUUAGCUAGUUGGUGAGGUAACGGCUCACCAAGGCGACGAUGCGUAGCCGACCUGAGAGGGUGAUCGGCCACACUGGGACUGAGACACGGCCCAGACUCCUACGGGAGGCAGCAGUAGGGAAUCUUCCGCAAUGGACGAAAGUCUGACGGAGCAACGCCGCGUGAGUGAUGAAGGUUUUCGGAUCGUAAAACUCUGUUGUUAGGGAAGAACAAGUACCGUUCGAAUAGGGCGGYACCUUGACGGUACCUAACCAGAAAGCCACGGCUAACUACGUGCCAGCAGCCGCGGUAAUACGUAGGUGGCAAGCGUUGUCCGGAAUUAUUGGGCGUAAAGCGCGCGCAGGCGGUUUCUUAAGUCUGAUGUGAAAGCCCCCGGCUCAACCGGGGAGGGUCAUUGGAAACUGGGGAACUUGAGUGCAGAAGAGGAGAGUGGAAUUCCACGUGUAGCGGUGAAAUGCGUAGAGAUGUGGAGGAACACCAGUGGCGAAGGCGACUCUCUGGUCUGUAACUGACGCUGAGGCGCGAAAGCGUGGGGAGCGAACAGGAUUAGAUACCCUGGUAGUCCACGCCGUAAACGAUGAGUGCUAAGUGUUAGAGGGUUUCCGCCCUUUAGUGCUGCAGCAAACGCAUUAAGCACUCCGCCUGGGGAGUACGGUCGCAAGACUGAAACUCAAAGGAAUUGACGGGGGCCCGCACAAGCGGUGGAGCAUGUGGUUUAAUUCGAAGCAACGCGAAGAACCUUACCAAGGUCUUGACAUCCUCUGACAACCCUAGAGAUAGGGCUUCCCCUUCGGGGGCAGAGUGACAGGUGGUGCAUGGUUGUCGUCAGCUCGUGUCGUGAGAUGUUGGGUUAAGUCCCGCAACGAGCGCAACCCUUGAUCUUAGUUGCCAGCAUUCAGUUGGGCACUCUAAGGUGACUGCCGGUGACAAACCGGAGGAAGGUGGGGAUGACGUCAAAUCAUCAUGCCCCUUAUGACCUGGGCUACACACGUGCUACAAUGGGCAGAACAAAGGGCAGCGAAGCCGCGAGGCUAAGCCAAUCCCACAAAUCUGUUCUCAGUUCGGAUCGCAGUCUGCAACUCGACUGCGUGAAGCUGGAAUCGCUAGU